rnacentral:rRNA from 1 species
CCUACGGGUGGCAGCAGUGAGGAAUAUUGGUCAAUGGGCGAGAGCCUGAACCAGCCAAGUCGCGUGAAGGAUGACGGCCCUACGGGUUGUAAACUUCUUUUGUAAGGGAGCAAUUGAGUCCACGUGUGGGCUUAGCGAGAGUACCUGAAGAAAAAGCAUCGGCUAACUCCGUGCCAGCAGCCGCGGGAAUACGGAGGAGGCGAGCGUUAUUCGGAUGUAUUGGGUGGACAGGGUGCGUAGGCGGAAUAUCAGGUCAGCGGUAAAAAUACGGGGCUAAACCCCGUCGUGCCGUUGAAACUGAUUUUCGUGAGUGGGCGAGAAGUAUGCGGAAUGCGUGGUGUAGCGGUGAAAUGCA